GCGCUAAUGGACAAAUUUGUUAGACAAACACUUCCGGUGUCGUUUUCCUUAGAUGUGAGCAACAGACACCAACAUUUCACACCUUCUACAGUGUUGCACAUUGGCUUGAGAACGUUGUGAGUCGUCGUAUUAAAUCCAU
ensembl:ncRNA C39E6.10 ncRNA